GAUGAAGAACGCAGCAAAAUGCGAUACUUGGUGUGAAUUGCAGAAUCCCGUGAACCAUCGAGUUUUUGAACGCAAGUUGCGCCCGAAGCCUUUUGGCCGAGGGCACGUCUGCCUGGGCGUCACGCAUCGCGUCGCCCCCCACAAUUCUCCGUAAAGGGAACAUGUGUUUUGGGGGCGGAUAUUGGUCUCCCGUGCUCAUGGCGUGGUUGGCCGAAAUAGGAGUCCUUUCGAUGGACGCACGAACUAGUGGUGGUCGUAAAAACCCUCGUCUUUUGUUUCGUGCUGUUGGUCGCAAGGUAAACUCUUUAAAAACCCCAAUGUGUCGUCUCUUGACGACGCUUCGACCGCGACCCCAGGUCAGGCGGGACUACCCGCUGAGUUUAAGCAUAUCAAUAAGCGGAGG
rnacentral:misc_RNA from 1 species